AAUGGGUCAGCGACUUAUAUUCUGUAGCAAGGUUAACCGAAUAGGGGAGCCGAAGGGAAACCGAGUCUUAACUGGGCGUUAAGUUGCAGGGUAUAGACCCGAAACCCGGUGAUCUAGCCAUGGGCAGGUUGAAGGUUGGGUAACACUAACUGGAGGACCGAACCGACUAAUGUUGAAAAAUUAGCGGAUGACUUGUGGCUGGGGGUGAAAGGCCAAUCAAACCGGGAGAUAGCUGGUUCUCCCCGAAAGCUAUUUAGGUAGCGCCUCGUGAAUUCAUCUCCGGGGGUAGAGCACUGUUUCGGCAAGGGGGUCAUCCCGACUUACCAACCCGAUGCAAACUGCGAAUACCGGAGAAUGUUAUCACGGGAGACACACGGCGGGUGCUAACGUCCGUCGUGAAGAGGGAAACAACCCAGACCGCCAGCUAAGGUCCCAAAGUCAUGGUUAAGUGGGAAACGAUGUGGGAAGGCCCAGACAGCCAGGAUGUUGGCUUAGAAGCAGCCAUCAUUUAAAGAAAGCGUAAUAGCUCACUGGUCGAGUCGGCCUGCGCGGAAGAUGUAACGGGGCUAAACCAUGCACCGAAGCUGCGGCAGCGACACUAUGUGUUGUUGGGUAGGGGAGCGUUCUGUAAG
rnacentral:rRNA from 1 species